rnacentral:rRNA from 1 species
CUGAACCCUUAAGCGGCGGACUGGUGAGUAACGCGUGGGUGACCUGCCUUAAGGCUGGGGAUAGCCGUUACGAAAUAGCGGGUAAUACCGAAUAAUGUUACCGGACUGUGGUUUGGUAAAGAAAGGGGCUAUGGCCCCGCCUGUAGAGGGGCCCGCGUCCCAUUAGCUAGUUGGGAGGGUAAGAGCCUGCCAAUGGCAGUGAUGGGUAGCCGGCCUGAGAGUGGUGGACGUGCCACACUGGGACUGAGAUACGUGCCCAGACUCCUACGGGAGGCAGCAGCUAAGAAUAUUCCGCAAUGGGCGAAAGCCUGACGGAGCGACGCCGCGUGUGCGAAGAAGGCCGAAAGGUUGUAAAGCACUUUUAUUGCUGAAGAAUAAGGAGAAGAGGGAAUGCUUUUCCGAUGACGUUAGGCAAUGAAUAAGCCCCGGCUAAUUAC